ACAGGAGCUUGUAGGAUUCCUGAGUAUAAAUCCUGACGCAGUCUCCGCGGGAGGACGCUUAGCUGUUUGUCCGUUUGUUCUUUAUCCAGGCCACCAAGAGUUUGCGAGAUGCUGACCGUGCUCCUGACCCUGUUGGUUGCCAUGGCAGUCACGCCCAGCUUGGCUGGUUACCCCAGUGAGGACGAUGAGGAGCUGUGUGUCCAGGCCUGUGAGCGCUGCUUCAGCGUCAUGAAGUGGCCACGCUUCUACAGCGCCUUCAAGUGUAAGGCUCAGUGUCUGGAUGACAUCAUGGAGGAUUAUGUGGUUGGUGGCAGUUCGUGGGCUCUAUGCAAGGUAGCGCUUCAGCAGAACCAUUUCGACUCUGCGGUGUGAGCUGUUGGAAAGACGACUUUU